CCCGGUGUGUCCGUGUCCUUGUAGAACUUGAUUCCGUUCUUCAGCCCCUCGGCGAGCGUCAGGUAAACCGCGAACUGCAUGAGGAAGCAGAGCAGCGCCGUCAGCAGCAGCAGCACGUUGAACCCGCAGCACAGCAGCAGCUCAAUCUUGAAGAAGAUUCCGAGGCUGAAGAUGAGAAUUCCCACGAUGACCGAGAGCCAGUAGAGCAUCCACAGCCCCUGAGCAAGCUUCACCCGCUUCUGCAGGUUGAACUUCACCGGCAUGAACGGCAUCUUUACGUCUCCACGCAACAACCCAACGACGUAAGAGCACAAGUCAACAACAACAAGUCACCGAUCAACAAGAAAGAGUUCGAGACAGAAUCCGUCAAAGUCUCAGAGUUUUAAUCCGUUCCAGAAAGAACACAGGACUCGGACACUGCUCCUGGUUUGUCACCCAUAAUGCCGAGCUGCAGGGGGGGCCGAGGAGCUGGCCAUCAAACUCUGGGUUAGGGUCCGACCGUCCGAGUGUCCAGGUGUGAGUGUGAACGAGAUGCGACUCAUCACUUGGACCCUGAAGGUUCUGAUCCCAUUAACAACAGAUCAGCUGAUAAUCAGGUUCUAAUGACGUUCUAAUCCUGGUAAUCGGUAAGACGCUGCUUCCUGUGCCGGUCUCACUUCAUCCACCUGUCUCACCUCACUGCUGCCUGUCUCACUGGCAGAAGUUUGAACUCAUGGUGUGGACAUUAAAAAAUGUACCAUCUUCAGACUAUUAGUUAUUAUUGCGUCGCUGUUUAAUGUGGUGAUAACGUUAAUUGUUUCUUGUCAUCCACAGCUAACCUGCUGUUCCUCUGCUGCCCUCUGGGGGCGCUGCAGCUCAUUAACACAAAGUCUCAUUGUUAAUUUUUCUAUUUUAUUUCUUUGUUUAGGUUCUGACGCUGUUUGUUUGUCAUCGUUGUAUUUAUCUUUAUUUUUCAACAAUUAAAAUCUCUGCGAAACUUAA